AUGAAGGACGUUACUAACGACGAUAUGCUUUGGGUAGCUGUAAGUAAGCGUUGAUCCAGAGAUUUCCGAAUGGGGGAACCCAGCAUGAGUUAUGUCAUGUUAUCGACAUGUGAAUUCAUAGCAUGUCAGAAGGCAGACCCGGAGAACUGAAACAUCUUAGUACCCGGAGGAAGAGAAAGAAAAAUCGAUUCCCUGAGUAGCGGCGAGCGAAACGGGAAGAGCCCAAACCAACAAGCUUGCUUGUUGGGGUUGUAGGACACUCUAUACGGAGUUACAAAAGAACAUGUUAGACGAAUCAUCUGGAAAGAUGAAUCAAAGAAGGUAAUAAUCCUGUAGUCGAAAACAUAUUCUCUCUUGAGUGGAUCCUGAGUACGACGGAGCACGUGAAAUUCCGUCGGAAUCUGGGAGGACCAUCUCCUAAGGCUAAAUACUCUCUAGUGACCGAUAGUGAACCAGUACCGUGAGGGAAAGGUGAAAAGUACCCCGGAAGGGGAGUGAAAGAGAACUUGAAACCGUGUGCUUACAAGUAGUCAGAGCCCGUUAAUGGGUGAUGGCGUGCCUUUUGUAGAAUGAACCGGCGAGUUACGAUCUGAUGCAAGGUUAAGCAGCAAAUGUGGAGCCGCAGCGAAAGCGAGUCUGAAUAGGGCGUUGAGUAUUUGGUCGUAGACCCGAAACCAGGUGAUCUACCCUUGGUCAGGUUGAAGUUCAGGUAACACUGAAUGGAGGACCGAACCGACUUACGUUGAAAAGUGAGCGGAUGAACUGAGGGUAGCGGAGAAAUUCCAAUCGAACUUGGAGAUAGCUGGUUCUCUCCGAAAUAGCUUUAGGGCUAGCCUCAAGUGAUGAUUAUUGGAGGUAGAGCACUGUUUGGACGAGGGGCCCCUCUCGGGUUACCGAAUUCAGACAAACUCCGAAUGCCAAUUAAUUUAACUUGGGAGUCAGAACAUGGGUGAUAAGGUACGAGUUCGAAAGGGAAAAAGCCCAGACCACCAGCUAAGGUCCCAAA
rnacentral:rRNA from 1 species